GUCUCUGUAGCGCAAUGGAUAGUGCUUUCGGCUGCUAAUCGAAAGAUCGUGGGUACGAGUCCCACUUGGGAUG